CUACGGGGGGCAGCAGGCGCGAAACCUCUACAAUGCACGAAAGUGUGAUAGGGGAAUCCUAAGUGCUUGUGCUCUGCACAGGCUUUUUUUAAGGGUAAAUACCUUGAAGAAUAAGUGGUGGGUAAGACUGGUGCCAGCCGCCGCGGUAACACUAGCGCCACGAGUGGCAGCCGCGUUUAUUGGGCCUAAAGCGUCCGUAGCAGGUUUGGCAAAUCUCUUGUGAAAUCGCAGGGCUUAACCUUGCGGACUGCAGGAGACACUACCAAACUCGAGACCGGGAGGAGUGAGAAGUAUUUCUGGGGGAUCGGUAAAAUGAAUUAAUCCCAGAAGGACUACCUAUGGCGAAGGCAUCUCACCAGAACGGGUCUGACUGUCAGGGACGAAAGCUAGGGGAGCGAUCCGGAUUAGAUACCCGGGUAGUC
rnacentral:rRNA from 1 species